UACGUAGGGGGCGAGCGUUGUCCGGAUUCAUUGGGCGUAAAGAGUUCGUAGGCGGCUUUGCAAGUCGGGCGUGAAAACUCCAGGCUCAACCUGGAGACGCCACCCGGGACUGCUAUGGCUAGAGUCCGGUAGGGGAUCACGGAAUUCCUGGUGUAGCGGUGAAAUGCGCAGAUAUCAGGAGGAACACCGGUGGCGAAGGCGGUGAGCUGGGCCGGCACUGACGCUGAGAGGCGAAAGCGUGGGUAGCAAACAGG
rnacentral:rRNA from 1 species